rnacentral:rRNA from 1 species
UACGUAGGUGGCAAGCGUUGUCCGGAAUUAUUGGGCGUAAAGCGCGCGCAGGCGGUCCUUUAAGUUUGGUGUGAAAUCUCCCGGCUCAACUGGGAGGGUGCGCCGAAUACUGAAUGACUUGGAGUGCGGGAGAGGAAAGUGGAAUUCCUGGUGUAGCGGUGAAAUGCGUAGAUAUCAGGAGGAACACUGGUGGUGUAGACGGCUUUCUGGACCGUAACUGACGCUGAGACACGAAAGCGUGGGUAGCAAACAGG